rnacentral:rRNA from 1 species
GACGAACGCUGGCGGCGUGCCUAAUACAUGCAAGUCGAACGCAGUGGGGACGGGUGAGUAAAACGUGGGUAACCUCCCAUCAGACGGGAUAACACUUGGAAACAGGUGCUAAACCGAUACUGAUGGAUGGACCCGCGGUGCAUUAGCUAGUUGGUGAGGGAACGGCUCACCAAGGCCACGAUGCCUAGCCGGUCGGAGAGGGGGAGCGGCCACACGGGAACUGAGACACGGCCCAGACGCCUACGGGAGGCAGCAGUAGGGAAUCUGCGGCAAUGGACGAAAGUCUGACCGAGCAAUGCCGCGUGAGUGAAGAAGGUUUUCGGAUCGUAAAGCUCUGUUGUUAGAGAAGCGGUAUCUAACCAGAAAGCAACGGCUAACUACGUGCCAGCAGCCGCGGUAAUUC